AACCAUGUGAUGAACACAAAGCGAACUAUUCUUUCGCCUUUUACUAAAGAAUACAGUGUGUUCGUCACGUUAUAAUGGUAUAAUCUAAUUUUUGUUGGGUUUAACUUUUUUAAGUUGAA
rnacentral:snRNA from 1 species